AGCGGCGAGCGAACAGGGAAGAGCCCAGCACCGAAUCCCGCGGCCGUAACCGGCCGCCGGGAAAUGUGGUGUUAGGGAGGAUCACUGUCCCGUUGUCGUGCGGCGCGUCCAAGUCCACCUUGAACGGGGCCACUUACCCACAGAGGGUGCCAGGCCCGUAGCGACCGCCGCUGACGACGGGAGGAUCUCUCCUCAGAGUCGGGUUGCUUGAGAGUGCAGCCCUAAGCGGGUGGUAAACUCCAUCUAAGGCUAAAUACAACCACGAGACCGAUAGCGAACAAGUACCGUGAGGGAAAGUUGAAAAGAACUUUGAAGAGAGAGUUCAACAGUACGUGAAACCGUUCAGGGGUAAACCUGAGAAACUCGAAAGAUCGAAUGGGGAGAUUCAGCGCGUCUCGUCUGGGCGCGAGUGGCGAUCGGUGAGACGGUCGGCGUCCGCGCCGGCCGCGCCGUCGACGCCGCAGCUCGUCGAACGCGUGCACUUCUCCCCUAGUAGAAAGUCGUGACCCGUUGGGCGUCGGUCUACGGCCCGCGGUGGUGCCCUCGGCGGAGAGCUUCGGCGAUCCCCGCGGACCCGCGGUGUCCCGGCCGGCAGGCCCGACGGCGAUGACAGUGGUGCGGGGCCGCGAUCUAAUCGCGUCCGGCGCGCGGCAAGCGCGGCCGGUUCAAUCCGUCUGUCGGACCUAGUGCCGACACCGGACCCGGUCGGCUGCUGGCCGCGCCGUCCUCGGACAGGCCCCGGUCUAACACCGGUCUACGAAGCUUUUGCAUUGGGUACUCUCAGGACCCGUCUUGAAACACGGACCAAGGAGUCUAGCAUGUGCGCGAGUCAUUGGGACUAGCGAAACCUAAAGGCGAAAUGAAAGCGAAGGCCGCCUUCCCUUCGGGGUUGGCGCGCCGAGGGAGGAUGCGGGUCGCCGAGGCGACCCGCCGCACUCCCGGGGCGUCUCGAGCUCAUCGCGAGCUGAGGCGCACCUAGAGCGUACACGCUGGGACCCGAAAGG
rnacentral:rRNA from 1 species